rnacentral:rRNA from 1 species
UGGGGAAUAUGCACAAUGGGCGCAAGCCUGAUGCAGCCAUGCCGCGUGUGUGAAGAAGGCCUUCGGGUUGUAAAGCACUUUCAGCGAGGAGGAAGGUGGUGAACUUAAUACGUUCACCAAUUGACGUUACUCGCAGAAGAAGCACCGGCUAACUCCGUGCCAGCAGCCGCGGUAAUACGGAGGGUGCAAGCGUUAAUCGGAAUUACUGGGCGUAAAGCGCACGCAGGCGGUUUGUUAAGUCAGAUGUGAAAUCCCCAGGCUCAACCUGGGAACUGCAUUUGAGACUGGCAAGCUAGAGUCUCGUAGAGGGGGUAGAAUUCCAGGUGUAGCGGUGAAAUGCGUAGAGAUCUGGAGGAAUACCGGUGGCGAAGGCGGCCCCCUGGACGAAGACUGACGCU